UAAGGAAUAUUGCGCAAUGGGCGAAAGCCUGACGCAGCAACGCCGCGUGGAGGAUGACACUUUUCGGAGCGUAAACUCCUUUUGUUAGGAAAGAAUAAUGACGGUACCUAACGAAUAAGCACCGGCUAACUCCGUGCCAGCAGCCGCGGUAAUACGGAGGGUGCAAGCGUUACUCGGAAUCACUGGGCGUAAAGGGCGCGUAGGCGGAUUAUCAAGUCUUGAGUGAAAUCUGGUGGCUUAACCAUCAAACUGCUUGGGAAACUGAUAGUCUAGAGUAAGGGAGAGGUAGAUGGAAUUCUUGGUGUAGGGGUAAAAUCCGUAGAGAUCAAGAGGAAUACCUAUUGCGAAAGCGAUCUACUAGAACUUAACUGACGCUGAGGCGCGAAAGCGUGGGUAGCAAACA
rnacentral:rRNA from 1 species